rnacentral:piRNA from 1 species
CACUCUCACGUCAAUUUGGGUCAGGUUUGC